rnacentral:rRNA from 1 species
AAACGGCUGCUAAUACUCUAUACUCCUGUCUUACAUAGUUAGAUAGGGAAAGUUUUUCGGUGUAGGAUGAGGCUAUAUUGUAUCAGCUAGUUGGUGAGGUAAUGGCUCACCAAGGCUAUGACGCAUAACUGGUCUGAGAGGAUGAUCAGUCACACUGGAACUGAGACACGGUCCAGACUCCUACGGGAGGCAGCAGUAGGGAAUAUUGCUCAAUGGGGGAAACCCUGAAGCAGCAACGCCGCGUGGAGGAUAACACUUUUCGGAGCGUAAACUCCUUUUGUUAGGGAAGAAUAAUGACGGUACCUAACGAAUAAGCACCGGCUAACUCCGUGCCAGCAGCCGCGGUAAUGCGGAGGGUGCAAGCGUUACUCGGAAUCACUGGGCGUAAAGGACGCGUAGGCGGAUUAUCAAGUCUCUUGUGAAAUCCUAUGGCUUAACCAUAGAACUGCUUGAGAAACUGGUAAUCUAGAGUGAGGGAGAGGCAGAUGGAAUUGGUGGUGUAGGGGUAAAAUCCGUAGAGAUCACCAGGAAUACCCAUUGCGAAGGCGAUCUGCUGGAACUCAACUGACGCUAAUGCGUGAAAGCGUGGGGAGCAAACAGGAUUAGAUACCCUGGUAGUCCACGCCCUAAACGAUGUAUACUAGUUGUUGCUAAGCUAGUCUUGGCAGUAAUGCACCUAACGGAUUAAGUAUACCGCCUGGGGAGUACGGUCGCAAGAUUAAAACUCAAAGGAAUAGACGGGGACCCGCACAAGCGGUGGAGCAUGUGGUUUAAUUCGAAGAUACGCGAAGAACCUUACCCGGACUUGAUAUCUAACAAAUCAUCUAGAGAUAGAAGAGUGUCUGCUUGCAGAAAUGUUAAGACAGGUGCUGCACGGCUGUCGUCAGCUCGUGUCGUGAGAUGUUGGGUUAAGUCCCGCAACGAGCGCAACCCACGUCAUUAGUUGCUAACAGUUCGGCUGAGCACUCUAAUGAGACUGCCUUCGUAAGGAGGAGGAAGGUGUGGACGACGUCAAGUCAUCAUGGCCCUUAUGUCCGGGGCGACACACGUGCUACAAUGGCAUAUACAAUGAGAAGCAAUAUCGCGAGACGGAGCAAAUCUAUAAAAUAUGUCCCAGUUCGGAUUGGAGUCUGCAACUCGACUCCAUGAAGCCGGAAUCGCUAGUAAUCGUAGAUCAGCCAUGCUAC